rnacentral:RNase_P_RNA from 1 species
UUGGAACUCGGGCAGUCGCCCUUCAGCCACUUUCGGGUGGGUUGGGGGGAGGAAAGUCCGGACACCAAAGGACGGUCCGCCCUGGGAAACCGGGGGCAGCCUCGACGCAAGCCGGGGUUGACGGAAAGUGUCACAGAAAAAAUACCGCCCGGCGUGGCUUUGGCCACGCAGGGUAAGGGUGAAAAGGCGGGGUAAAAGCCCACCACCUGCCGGGCAACCGGCAGGGAAUGAUAAACCACGGAUGGUGCAAGGCCGAGCAGGAGUCACGGGUGGUCCGCCCGUCCCGCGCAAGCGGGACAACUCCGGGUUGGUGCCGCAUCGGAACGGCGAAAACGCCUGACCGGAAUCCGCCGCAAGGCGGGUUAGAGAAAUGGCUGCCGGCUUUCCGGGCAACCGGAAGGCCACAGAAUCCGGCUUACAUGAGUUCCAUGGGA